rnacentral:rRNA from 1 species
GACAGAGGGUGCAAACGUUGUUCGGAAUUACUGGGCAUAAAGCGCACGUAGGUGGUCCGCUAAGUCGCGUGUGAAAUCCCCCGGCUCAACCGGGGAAAUGCGCGUGAUACUGGCGGGCUUGAGAUCGGGAGGGGUGAAUGGAACUCCAGGUGGAGCGGUGAAAUGCGUAGAUAUCUGGAGGAACACCGGUGGCGAAAGCGGUUCACUGGCCCGACACUGACACUGAAAAGCGAAAGCCAGGGGAGCAAACGGG